GACCGCGAGAGGAAGGAGAGAGAGUCGUCGAGAGAGAGAGCACGUUGCUCACCACCGUCCGGCGCUGCUUUGCCCGUAGUCGUUGUCCAGGUCCUCUCUCGAGGCGUGUGCGAUAUCCCCCGGCGGCAGCCGUUGGUGGAGAGGGCAGAUAGUUGGAUAGAUACAUCGAUAUUUAUAGUUUCUUAAAUCGACCAGGACGUGGAGAUUAUCAUGGUGGUAGUGGUUGUAUGGUGAUGAUGAUGACGGUAGAAGGAUAGUUAAGCCAUACGAAAUAGAGAUCUUAAGAUCCAUCGGAUCCCUCUGGAUCUUCAACUUGCUCCGCCUUAUUGCGCAACCUCUUGGGCUGAUCUCGGGCACACCGGCAGUCCUGACACAGUUACCUACCUGAUCUGGGCGUUACGGUAGGAUAACAGGAUGAAGAAGAAGAAGAAGAAGAAGAAGAAGAAGUACAACAAGAAGAACAAGAGGAACUAGAAGAACGGGAACGUGAAAACGAAAUAGAAGAAAAAGAAGAAGAAGAGGAAGAAGAUCUUGAUGAUGAAAAGAAAAAGAAAAAAAUAAAUCGAGGAGCUUGAACGAUUCUUCGACUUCAUUUUUUUAAUUUUCUUUAUACUUUUUCACUUCUCUUCAUUUUUUUUUAUCUUCCAACAUCGAUAAGAACAGAACGAUAUAUCGUACGCUGACAAUUUCAUAGUAAGAGAUUUUUAACAGAUUUCAAGAAAAUGGCGGAAACGAUAUAUAUACGUAUAAUAUAUACAGACAAUUGGAUGUUUCCUAUAGAAUUAAAAACAACGACAAAUCGUUGCACAAUUGUUGAAUCGUUCUGGUUGAACCGGAUGAAAGACAGACAACGACGAUAACAACGACGACGAUGGAUCAACUUCUCGUUGGGUGUCACUUCAGGGUCGUCGAUCGUGAUAUUUGAGUGCUCAUAUAGGCGGUAUCGGAAUUCUUACGUCGACGAGGACGAAACACUCUUUCUCUCUCUCUCUCUCUCUCUCUCUCCUUCUUAUGCAUUCUAUUCCGUACGAUGACGCUUUUAACAAAGUUUCGAACACGUACGCGUUAGUUGCAUUCGUGUUACAUACAUACGUGCAUACAUAUGUACAUUAUACAUGUAUACGUAUGGAUGGCGUUAUGUUAUAUGUAUAUAAUACGUGCCAUCAUCAUCUCAAGAACCCAUCAUUAGACGCCUACGCGAAUGGAAGAAGAACGUAGAACAGGACAGGAUGAGAUGAUGUCCUAGUCGCGACAAAAGGCUUGACAGCAAAGAACGAUACGACAUCGAGCAAUCGAGUCCCAGUGGGAACGGGCUUGACAAUGGGGAACACCGGAAGUCUCGUUUGCGGCCACGUUGUAAACGCAACCUCAAGUACAUAUAACUUAACCAGUGGGAGGAGUUCUCUGUAGUCUCGAGUUAACUCUAAGCACAAAAAGAGAGAGAAAGAGAGAUAGAGAGAUGUGCGACUGCUAAGACUGCAUACAUACAUACAUAUACAUAUACAUAUAUAUAUAUACAUACAUGUAUGCAUAAUACAUGGACUUGGUAAACUGUCAACUAGGAUGAAGAUCAGCGAGAGAGGCUCAUCGUUACACCUCUUCACAUUUUGCACU